AAGUGCCGUAAAACCCUGCGGUCAGACCAUCUGCACUCUGAAAAGGCUCGGUCAAUCGAUCUGCACUUAAUAUUUUUAGUACGCGAUCUACAUUACUCGUUACGGUAACUAUCCCUCUUGGGAAAAUGUGCAGCAGAUGAACGCUACGUUUACACCACCUGGUAAAAGUGACCCAAUUCCGAUUUUUUUCACGUGGCACAUAUCGGAUAUGUAGCUAGCCUACUAUGAACCUGUAAAUAGGAAAAAGCACAUGGAAUCGGAUAUUUUCAUAUCCGUUUUGGCCACAUUCAUAAAUAAAUCCGAUAUAGGAUCGGGGUCCGUGUAUCUUUUGGUCAUUCUAUUUUGCUUUCAGAAACAGAAAUGAAAAAAUGAAAAACGAAUGGUUGUUUGAUUUGAAAUACAAGGCAUUUUUAAUUUUCCUGGUUACUGUCACCUGCGUGUGCUGUUGUGGACUCUGGCAAGUCUUUAAAUAGAGGGCAGAGGCAGGCGGGGUUGCGGGGGUCAUAUUCUUGUGUUUGCGACUUGUGUGCAGCAGACUUUCGCCGUACGCUCCUCGCCAAUCGUUCUGGUCGCACUACUUGCGCGGUGUGACCAGAGGAUGUGACCAAUCUGGAGUGCCGUGGACCGAACUGGUGUCGCCUCUUCCAGUGUUGGCCGGGAAGUUUUAAUCUGCCUAAUUGUGUUCUUUUUCUGUCCCGGGUUUUUACUUGUGUUUGUUUGUGCUCUUAAUAAGUGGCAGUGCGGGAGGGAAACUGCAUGGGGCGGUCGGUGGUUGGGAAGAGAGUAGCUACUAGACUACUAGCCUACCGAUUAUUUCCGACUGCGGGGUGGUAGCCUACUAUAACAAGAUCGUAGUGUGCAUUCUCACGUAUUAUUCUCACUUUGCUGUGUGAUUAUGGUUACCCUUCUUACAAGCUUAAUAGUUUCACUUGGCUGUGUGUAGUGGCUAUAGUGGCCACGUCCACGGGUGUAAUGUUUUCAACUGUGUGUAGUGACUAUGAUUACCAUUCUUACAAGUUUAACAAUGCACUUGGCUGUGCGUAGUGACUGUAAAUUGCUCCGUCCCGUAGCCUAUCCGUGCCGCCCAGUGGGGUUUUCCCCCCGUUUUGCCCUUGACCAGCAAUACAGUCUAUUAUAUUUUUCCAUAUUCCUUGUGGCGUGUUCUCAACUUCCUAUAUAUCCGGACCUUACCGGUAAAAAGGUGGUGACAGCCUACACAUUAUUUAUGGUCCCUUCUAGGAGGGUUUAUUACAAUAUUCUAAAACCGGAAGUUGUCAGGGUAGCGCCAAAACCAAAAAAAUGGCCAGUGUACAGGCAGCUAAAUAUACAGUGAAUCCCUGCAGAAUAAAUAACUAAUUUUUGAUCGCUGUAAACUAAAAUUACGAUGGCUUUGGAACCAUAUUCUGACAGCAUUUUAGCCAUGGCGAAACAAGGGCUGUCAUCUACAGAAAUCUCUGCGCAUAUGUCACAUCAGACGCUACAGGUUUUGCAGCAAGAAGUGUCAGGAGAUUUUGCGCUGAACAUGGCUCAGGCUUGAGUGGGCUCUCCAACGAACAUUUGGAGUUAGAGGUGGCAAAAGCUAUAAACGAGACGGGACCAACAUAUGGGAUAAAGAUGAUGAAGGGGUAUCUGGCCAUGAAAGGAAUGCAUGCUUCAGAGAAACGAAUUGGAGCAGUGCUGAGGACUAUGCAUCAGCCCUAACAUGAAGCAAGACGCCAUGGUGCUCGUAACCUUAACCACAUACCGUAUCAAGCUGACUAUAUGGGUCACAAGGUUCACAUGGACCAGAAUGAAAAACUGGCUAUGUUUGGGGCCACCCAUGUUUUAGCUGUCGAUGGCUUCAGCAAAAAGAUUGUUGGACAUUCUACAAUGCCUAUGAAAAACAACCUUUACAUCUAUGAAGAUGUUUUCAGACCUGCAGUAAUUACCUAUGGUAGGACCAGGUGUGAGAAGAUCCAGGAAAAGGAAUUUUAUUUUACACUCUUCAUGCAGGAAAUGCUGUCACCGCAUCGUUAUAAUCAGGAGAGAAUGCCUUAUUUACAGACUUCAUCCACUAGGAACCACACAGACUGUAGCCUGAGGUCAACAACCGUGUCAACUAUCCACUGAAAACGGCCCUUCUGCAGUUGGUGGAUCAAGAGGAGCUAGACAUGGAAGACAGCCUUGUGAGAUACUGUGUGUCCAACCUGACUGGCCAAUUGUGCCAGAUUGGUAUUACGAGGGUGGUGAAGUCAUGGAACUCUCACAGGAUUUCUGGAAAAGGGACACCAAACGAGUUGGCAGACACCGGGUGUCCUACAAGAAUUCCACAGGAACUGUUGCCUCCUGCACUUGAAGCAUCAGCCCUCUACAGCCAGCAACUGGGAUCCGACACCAUAUUCUACUUUUGGAGUUGAUCCCUUUUCAACUGAACAGGACAAGCUAACAGUUGAGAAUCUUUUUGCAGAGAAAUAUCCAGAUAUUUCAGAUUUGUUUUCUAGAGCAGUGAACAAUGACUUUGCCCCAUACAAAGAGGCCUUGCUCUAUCUCAUAACCACAACUCAAAGAAAUGUGUGAAAAGCCACAUACUCCAUUUGAACUUUCAGAACUUAAAUUGGUACCAACAACAAUUGACUGGUGGCAACAGGUGUGUUUAGGAAAGGCCACAGAGUUUCUUCAUGAAGCCAUAUCAGGCCCAGAGUGCUCUAGAAGUGUGCACUCUCAGUCACUUUGGUGGCAGGUUUGUUUAUGUUUCCUAAACAUUAAGAGAACUCUUCGGUCUCCACAAAAAUAGUGAGCAAACUUUCACCUUCCUUAUUAACAGUUGUUUCUAUGCUGUGUGCCAAUCUGACUUCCUCCAGCCUGAACAUGUAAAUAAAUUAACUACACAGACAAAAGAGCUGAAGGUACCCACCAACUUUUGCAUUCAUUAAACAAUUAACUGCAAAUACAGCAUGCCCUUUUGUGAGUAAACAUGUAAAAAAAUUACUCCACUGGAAAAAGGGAUUUCAAAACAGAAAAUGCAUCUGUUAGACCCAUAACUGGAAGUACAUUUUCGCCUAAGGUGUUCCCUCUACAUUUUGCACAGUGCACAGAUGUCUGCUGCCACUGCUGCACACAUGCUUUGCAGCCAAUAAUGCCUCUGCAGCACUGUAAGAACAUUGGCUCCUCAAUGAAGUUAAAUGAGAAAAAUUAGUCAAUUGCUGUGUGUGUGUGUGCACACUCGCAUGUGUGUCCCUGUCCGUCCUAAGUGUUCUAGAUGUGCUGGAUGACAGUGGAAUGGUUUAUUUUCUAUUUUAACAUUAAAUUUAAUGUAAUUAAAA